GGUCUGUGGAAGGCGCCGCUUCCCCUAAAGAUCAAGAUAUUCGUUUGGCAGCUUUUGCACGAACACCUCCCCUUGGGGAUGGAUCUGGCCAAGCUCCAUGGUCCUGGUGAUGGGUUGUGCGCCCUAUGUGGUGUCCCUGAGUCCAGGAUCCAUAUUUUCUUUUCCUGCCCCUUGUCCGCUUUAUGGAGCUUUGUCUAGGAGGCUCUAGGGCCUAAAUGGCAGGCUUCAGACCUUAGACAAUUUCUAGAACAGUAG
rnacentral:rRNA from 1 species